rnacentral:misc_RNA from 1 species
GUGAAUCAUCAAAUUUUUGAACGCAAAUUGCGCUUCCUGGCAUCCCGGGAAGUAUGCCUGUUUGAGGGUCAGUAUUAACAAAAAAUCGGUUUGGUUGCAAAUUGUGACGUUUCCGGAGUUUGGGCUAUCUUAACUUUUUUGGUUAAGGGGCUUAAAAUUGACCUUUUUUGGGAUUUUUUGGACGUAAUUAAUUUUUUUUUUAUUUUGUUUUUUUUUAUUGCAAAAUCCUUUUUAGUUCUA